AUUUCUUCAUACUGAAUGUAUGCUGGGUUUUGAUUCCCUGUGCUGGAUAUAUGCUUCAGGCUGUUAUCCAGCAGGGGACUUAACCAUUAUCUAAAUAAAAUUGUAUCUCAUUUGGAUCUCUGCAAUGGGUGCAGACAUCUGUGG